rnacentral:rRNA from 1 species
UACGAGGGGUGCUAGCGUUGUUCGGAAUCACUGGGCGUAAAGCGUGCGUAGGCGGCUUUGCAAGUCAGGGGUGAAAUCCCACAGCUUAACUGUGGAACUGCCUUUGAAACUGCAUAGCUGGAGUGUCGGAGGGGAUAGCGGAAUUUCUAAUGUAGCGGUGAAAUGCGUAGAUAUUAGAAGGAACACCGGUGGCGAAGGCGGCUAUCUGGACGACAACUGACGCUGAGGCACGAAAGCGUGGGGAUCAAACAGG